rnacentral:rRNA from 1 species
GCCUACGGGACGCAGCAGUGGGGAAUAUUGGGCAAUGGGCGCAAGCCUGACCCAGCAACGCCGCGUGAAGGAAGAAGGCUUUCGGGUUGUAAACUUCUUUUCUGGGGGACGAAGAAAGUGACGGUACCCCAGGAAUAAGCCACGGCUAACUACGUGCCAGCAGCCGCGGUAAUACGUAGGUGGCAAGCGUUAUCCGGAUUUAUUGGGUGUAAAGGGCGUGUAGGCGGAAUGCAAGUCAGAUGUGAAAACUAUGGGCUCAACCCAUAGCCUGCAUUUGAAACUGUAUUUCUUGAGUGCUGGAGAGG